rnacentral:rRNA from 1 species
UACGAGUGCCCCAAGCGUUAUCCGGAAUCAUUGGGCGUAAAGGGUGUGUAGGUUGUUUCAUUAGUCUUUUGUCAAAUUCUUCGGCUCAACCGGGGGUCUGCAGAGGAAACGGUGAAACUAGAGGAUGUGAGAGGUGAAUGGAACUCAUGGUGUAGGGGUGAAAUCCGUUGAUAUCAUGGGGAACACCAAAAGCGAAGGCAAUUCACUGGCACAUUCCUGACACUGAAACACGAAAGCGUGGGUAGCGAAUGGG